UGAGAUACUUUCUUGAAAAAAUGCUCAUAUCUUUUUUUCUUUUAUUUCAGGUGCAACCUGCUUUGCACUCAUGGAAAUCAUACUAGCAGUUUUGACUCCGGCAUCACGUGUCGUCUUGAAAUUUGUGACUGACUUCACAUGAGCAAGUGGUGUGGACCCCACUGAAAGCAUCCACGCAGUUGUGGAAAGCUGGAUGGAACUAUCUAGCUGCCAACGACCAAAUUCUUUCUCUCUCUCUCUCUUAUCUCCCUGUCUCUACCUUUUUUUGUUUUUACACUUUCUUGCAUAAUUAAAAUUGGUGGUGUCUGCUCUUCUGUGUUCCA
rnacentral:lncRNA from 1 species